rnacentral:rRNA from 1 species
AUUGAACGCUGGCGGCAUGCUUUACACAGGCAAGUCGAACGGUAACAGGCCGCAAGGUGCUGACGAGUGGCGAACGGGUGAGUAAUGCAUCGGAACGUGCCCAGUCGUGGGGAUAACGCAGCGAAAGCUGUGCUAAUACCGCAUACGAUCUAUGGAUGAACGCGGGGGACCGUAAGGCCUCGCGCGAUUGGAGCGGCCGAUGUCAGCUUAGGUAGUUGGUGGGGUAAAGGCCUACCAAGCCGACGAUCUGUAGCUGGUCUGGGAGGAUGAUCCGGCACACUGGGACGGAGAGACGGCGCAGAUUCCUACGGGACGCAGCAGAGGGGAAUAUUGGACAAUGGGCGGAAGCCUGAUCCAGCCAUGCCGCGUGUGUGAAGCAGGCCUUUUGGUUGUAAAGCACUUUAAGCGAGGAGGAGGCUACCUGGAUUAAUACUCUAGGAUAGUGGACGUUACUCGCAGAAUAAGCACCGGCUAACUCUGUGCCAGCCGCCGCCGUAAAAC